rnacentral:pre_miRNA from 1 species
UGUGACUGGUUGACCAGAGGGCUGUAUUUUCUCCACCUGUGGGCCACCUAGUCACCAG